rnacentral:tRNA from 1 species
GCGAGGGUGGCGGAAUUGGCAGACGCGCUAGCCUUAGGAGCUAGUGGGCUUCGCUCAUGGGGGUUCGAGUCCCCCCUCUCGCACCA